UCGUACUAGUCGGGGAGGUAGCGGUUCCCUGUACCCGCAGUCCGCUAUAGCGGGGGCGAAAUCCUUUUUGAGGAUUGUUGAGGUAUUGUCAGUUUGUAUUAGAAAAUGUUGAUUGUCGGGUCUUACGCAACGUGAACGCGUGAACCUUGUCAGGCGGGGAACCGAGCAGCAAUAAGCGUUUGCUUCGCGUGUGCCGUGAGAGUGCCCGGCAGGAGUUUUUAAAAUACAAAAACGGAUAUUUGCAACAAUUCAAGGAAAGGUGUACGG
rnacentral:SRP_RNA from 1 species